UACGUAGGUGGCAAGCGUUGUUCGGAAUUGCUGGGCGUAAAGCGCACGUAGGCGGAUUGUUAAGUUAGGGGUGAAAUCCCAGGGCUCAACCCUGGAACUGCCUUUGAUACUGGCAAUCUAGAGGUCGAGAGAGGUGAGUGGAAUUCCGAGUGUAGAGGUGAAAUUCGUAGAUAUUCGGAGGAACACCAGUGGCGAAGGCGGCUCACUGGCUCGAUACUGACGCUGAGGUGCGAAAGCGUGGGGAGCAAACAGG
rnacentral:misc_RNA from 1 species